UAGCUCACCGAUUUUAUCUCACUCUUCUCUCACGGUUCUGUCACAAUAUAUUUGGAACAACGACUAUUUCUCUUAAAUAUAUAGAUUUCUCCAACUGCUAUUCAUUUUUUCUGCAAUUGUUUUCGAAUUUGAAGCACUGUUUAAUGGGAGAAGAAGCAUAGAUAAAUUUCGUCGCAGUCCAGCCCCAAGUCGGCGCUACCGCCCCGUCUCCACACCAGACUCCUCCCCCACGCCGUGAUUCGUCACAUUCCAGCCCUAAGUCGGCGCUGCCCGCGAUUCCCUCCCGUCGUUUCUCUGACUUACUCUCUCUUCCUGUAGCAGCCUACAACCAAUACAGCAGAUAAAACCCUCCUCUCUCUUCCUUUUUCACAACCAAUACAACAUAUAAAAAAACCCCUCUCUGUUUCUUUUUCUGAAUUCGCGGUGUUUAGUGAUAUCAAUUCUCUGCUUUGAUUUUUGAAUUUCUUUCUUGCUGUGAAAUUGUGCUAUUUUUGCAAUUCCCCUUUUUAUCCGUGUUGAAGAUUGGAUUUUUUUUUGAAUUCGCGGUGUUUAGUGAUAUUAGUUCUCUGUUUUUAUUUUUGAAUUGUCAUUCUUCCUGUUUUGAUGUACUACAAGAAGGGUGUCAAGUGAAACGUGCAGGAUCGUCUUACAUCAUUGAUUCCAGAGAAGACUAUUUCCAUAAAUUAUGUUAUAAGAACUUGAUUUUCUUUUUUUUUCAAGAAUGUUAGGAUGUUUACAUUGCUGGUUGUAGAACUUAAAUACAAGAAAAUUGCUUCCACCAUUUGAUUUUAUCGAUGUAUUGGUCUGUUGCAGUGUGGUGUUAAUACAGUCUCUCUUGAAUAUGUUUUGUACAGGACAUAAUUGCUUGAUUUGGUAAGCAAGAGGCAAUGCCAAGAGAUUUUUUCACAGAUUUUGUGAAAGUGGCACAAGAUAAAGGUCGACACUUCACCCUGCUUGCAGAAAGAUUGAAGGAUAUGGGAUCUUUCUAUGGAGCAUUGCCUGCUCAUGACGGUCUCUGGGAUUCAGCCGCCGCUACUUCCAACGAUCUGUUACCACGUUUAGCAAUCGAGCAUUGUGUUCACGAGGCUAGAAGCCUGGACCUUGCAUGUUGAUAAACCAAUCUUAGAAUUGGGUGCUCGACAGACGGUGGCGGGAAUUACGGCAUGGAGUGGUGUUAUCAUCUUUUGCUUAUUUAUGUUUCUUUGUUUGUGGUGUCUUAUGUUCCACAGCGGCUCUAAGUAUUGUUGUUUAUCUAUUUUUAUUUUACUCUUCUUAUUGUCAUAUUUGAUUCUCUAAUGUUUGUUUUGACUUUCUUCAUUGUUUUUAUUUAUUGUCCUUUCUGAAUU